ACUUAUCUUAGAAAUGCGCGAAACCGGCACUGCCAGUCCCCGAGUUUCGGGUUAAGAACUUUGUUCUUAGCGCAACACUGAACUUAUUUCUUUUUCUUGAACAGCUCACGGCUGACGCUCGGAAGGCCCUCUUCGAGGAGCUUCUAUGGGAGCAUCGGGAGCUCGCUGAGGCACACGAUAAGUGCCAAGUGAUCCCGGAAGCUUCCAUCGAUGCUCUCAGGGAGUAGCUCGCCGCCGCCCAACGGGAGAAGGACCAGCUCAUCCGGCAGCAUCAGGAGGAGCUGAGCGCCCACAAGACCAGCUACCAGGAGCUCAAGUCCCAGCUCAUUCAGCUGGGGCUUGACCACGCCAAGGCCCUCAAAGCCGCUGAAGCGGCUGCAGCGGCCAAGUUGGACGAGGCUCUGGAGGACGCCAGCAAUGCCACCGUGGUAUUGCGAGCUGAGCUGGAGGAGCUGGCCAAGGCCCGGAAGGGUGCCGAGGAGAGAGCUGCGCGCCUGGAGGAGGAGCAGAAGGGGUGCAACCAGUUGAUCCAGCAAACUGAUACCCUUG